AAGUCAAAUGAAAAGGGCACAGGGCGGAUGCCUUGGCUCCAGGAAGCGAUGAAGGACGUGGCAAGCUGCGAUAAGCCUCGGGGAGAAGCAAACAUUCUUUGAUCCGGGGAUUUCCGAAUGGGGAAACCCGCCUGAGUCUCUCAGGCAUCGCUGGCUGAAUUCAUAGGUCAGCGAAGCGAACCCGGGGAACUGAAACAUCUAAGUACCCGGAGGAAAAAAAAUCAAACGAGAUUCCCUCAGUAGCGGCGAGCGAACGGGGAAGAGCCCAAACCAUCCGGUGCGCCGGGUGGGGUUGUAGGACCAUCACACGGGCAGGCAAAGGGUUAGCGGAAGCACUUGGGAAAGUGCGCCAGAGAGGGUUAGAGCCCCGUAGGCGAAAACCGUGAGCCGCCUGAUGGCACCUGAGUAGGACGGGACACGUGAAAUCCUGUUCGAAGCUGGGGGGACCACCCUCCAAGGCUAAAUAUUCCCUGGAGACCGAUAGCGAACCAGUACCGUGAGGGAAAGGUGAAAAGAACCCCGAUAAGGGGAGUGAAAUAGAUCCUGAAACCCUGUGUCUACAAGCAGUGGAAGCUCCUCAUGUGAGCGACCGCGUGCCUUUUGCAUAAUGAGCCAACGAGUUAAGGUCAGUGGCGAGGUUAAGUUAUUAACGGAGCCGAAGCGAAAGCGAGUCUGAAUAGGGCGUCGAGUCGCUGGCCUUAGACCCGAAACCGAGUGAUCUAGCCCCGUCCAGGUUGAAGCUUGGGUAAGACCAAGUGAAGGACCGAACCAGUAUACCUUAAAACGUAUUUGGAUGAGGUGGGGCUAGGAGUGAAAGGCUAAUCAAACUCGGAAAUAGCUGGUUCUCCCCGAAAUAUAUUUAGGUAUAGCCUCGAGACAGGCUGCCGGAGGUAGAGCACUGAUUGGACUAGGGGGCCCACCAGCCUACCAAACCCAGUCAAACUCCGAAUGCCGGCAAGUCAUUUCUCGGGAGUCAGACGGCGUGAGCUAACUUUCGUCGUCGAAAGGGAAACAACCCAGACCGCCAGCUAAGGCCCCCAAGUAUCAGUUAAGUGUGAAAGGAUGUGGGAGCGCCCAGACAACCAGGAAGUUAGCUUAGAAGCAGCUACCUUUUAAAGAAAGCGUAAUAGCUCACUGGUCAAGCGAACCUGCGCCGAAAAUAUAACGGGGCUCAAACUGAUCGCCGAAGCUGCGGAAUCAAUAUGAUUGGUAGGGGAGCUUUCCCUGGGCGGUGAAGCUGGAUCGUAAGGGCCAGUGGAGCGCAGGGAAGUGAGGAUGUUGGCAUGAGUAACGAAAAUGCGGGCGAGAAACCCGCACGCCGAAAGUCCAAGGGUUCCCGUGGCCAUGUUAAUCAGCCCGGGGUUAGUCGGCCCCUAAGGCGAGGCCGAAAGGCGUAGUCGAUGGGAAACAGGCUAAUAUUCCUGUACUGAAAGUUGCGCGCGAUGGAGGGACGCAGCAGGAUAGGUCAGCCGGGUGACGGAUGUCCCGGUUUAAGGUCGUAGUCGGUCUGCUUAGGUAAAUCCGGGCAGGCAACGACGAGAGCUGAUGACGAGAGGUUCGCCUCACAAAGUGAUUGAUUCCACACUGCCAAGAAAAGCUUCUAAGUAUAGUAACUUUCAACCGUACCCCAAACCGACACAGGUGGACUGGUAGAGAAUACCAAGGCGCUUGAGUGAUAUCACGUUAAGGAACUCUGCAAAAUAGCUCCGUAUCUUCGGUAGAAGGAGUGCCUCCAGUAUGUGAAUGGGCUCGCCCCAAGAGCAGACAGAGGCCGCAGUGAAAGGGCCCAGGCGACUGUUUAGCAAAAACAUAGCACUCUGCUAAAUCGCAAGAUGACGUAUAGGGUGUGACGCCUGCCCGGUGCCGGAAGGUUAAGAGGAGGAGUCAGCGCAAGCGAAGCUGCGAAUCGAAGCCCCGGUAAACGGCGGCCGUAACUAUAACGGUCCUAAGGUAGCGAAAUUCCUUGUCGGGUAAGUUCCGACCUGCACGAAUGGCGUAACGGGUGGUAGACUUUGAAGGACCAACGCUAGUUGGUCUGGAGUCGCCCUUGAAAUACCACCCUGGCUUGUCUGGGCUUCUAACCCGGAUCCAUUAGCUGGAUCGGGGACCCUGUCUGGUGGGUAGUUUGACUGGGGCGGUCGCCUCCUAAAGCGUAACGGAGGCGCGCAAAGGUUCCCUCAGAACGAUUGGAAACCGUUCGCAGAGCGUAAAGGCAUAAGGGAGCCUGACUGCAAGAGAGACAUCUCAAGCAGGGACGAAAGUCGGUCUUAGUGAUCCGGUGGUCCCGUGUGGAAGGGCCAUCGCUCAACGGAUAAAAGGUACUCCGGGGAUAACAGGCUAAUCGCGCCCAAGAGUUCAUAUCGACGGCGCGGUUUGGCACCUCGAUGUCGGCUCAUCGCAUCCUGGGGCUGAAGCAGGUCCCAAGGGUAUGGCUGUUCGCCAUUUAAAGCGGUACGCGCACCGCCGGGUAGCUACGUUCGGAAGAGAUAACCGCUGAAAGCAUCUAAGCGGGAAACUCGCCUCAAGAGAGAUCUCCCGGGCAUUUAUGCCCCUUAAGGUCACAGAAAGACGAUCUGUUUGAUAGGCUGGAAAUGGAAGCAUGGCAACAUGCGCAGUUGACCAGUACUAAGCGACCGUGCGAUUUGACU
rnacentral:rRNA from 1 species